rnacentral:tRNA from 2 species
GUUGCGGUGGCCGAGCGGUUAAGGCGUUGGACUAAAAUCCAAUGGGAUCUUCCCGCGCAGGUUCGAAUCCUGCCCGCAACG